rnacentral:lncRNA from 1 species
CAGGGCAGGGCGGGGCGGGGCCUGCGUCACGGGGCGGGGAGACGCACUCGGCCACCGCCCCGGCUCCCUUUCCUGGGCCGGGCGGUGCGGUAGACCCUGACCUGCGGGCCUCGGAGGGGAAGCCCUGCGCCCUGGUGCCCGGCCCGGAGCCCACGCGGGACUGGGAAGGCGCCGAGCCUCCCUAGGAGCUGCCGGGGGGAGGCGACCCCAGAACAGCGUCCCGGAGAGCCGCCGGCGGGGUGUGGGGCCGGGUCCCCCAGCAGCGAGGGGCCCCAAAGCCGACCGGCGCGCUUGGGACGUUAAGCGCCCUUCUUCCGGUCUGUGAGCUUCGGCGGCGGCGCCGGCCCUUCCUUUAGCCCUCUCGGGACCGUUACGUGAACCCGCACUGCCUUCUUCCCUUCCGGGACCCCUGCACAGGCCCCGCGCCCGCCCCGACUCGGAACCGAGGGGAAAGAAGCCGCGCGGCGGCAGGAAAACGGGAGAGGUCUAGGCCGGCCGGGGCUGCUGGAGGACUCAGCCCAGCUCUGGAGUGGACAAGUGCAGGCCGCGGCUUUUCAUCCAGAUAAAACAGUGAGCUCAGCAGAGUCCGAAGCUUAUCUCUGUUACCCAGCUUAGCCACACGGAAGCUCUAAGAAUUCACCUUCCAAAAUACUUCGUUUUUGAUUAAAAUAUAUAUAGAUGCUUUAUAACUGCCCAAAUAAGUACAGUGCUGUAAAGGGAAAAGAAAAAAGAAAUGCAUGAUGCAUUUACUCAGUUUAGAAAGGAGAUCUAUGCAAAAACCGAAAUAUUAUUUAAAAAAAUCAAAUCUGCAAAUUUGUGGGGGUUUUUUUUGAGGCAGGGUCUCCCUUUGUAGUUCAGGCUGGCCCUGAACUCACGAUGUAGCCUAGGCUGGCCUCGAACUCACAGCGAUCCUCCUGCCACAGCCUUCCCAGUGCUGGGAUCACAAGCAUGCACCACCACGCCCGGCAAAUCUGCAAAUUUAUAACAUGCUAUUUUAGCCAGCGGCCCCCACUCAUUGUGUUCCAGUCCCUUCGUGCACGUGCCAUGUCUCCCUGAAGUGGAGAUGCCUCCCCACAUUUUGCAGAUGAGGAAUCAGCCCAAGAGGCUUUCUUUUAUUUAACCAAAAUCGGUGCAGUUAACAAAUGCGCAGGCCACCACCCAAACCUAGUUUGACUCGGAAGCCCAGACUUCUCCCCUGUCAUGCUACAUUUUGCUGUGUUGGCGUCAGUCAACAGAUUUCUCCUGUGUGGAGGAGACUGAGGUGUUUGGGGUGGUGAUUUGGAAACCCAGGCGCUUCUACUUUGAGCGGAAGUUCCCAGUCUUCAUACUUGAGAUCCUGAAACCCAGCCUAGUGUCCCCAUCUUAUAUUGAUGAAAAAGUUUAGGGCUAAAAUAUCUAUGGAGCUCUCCGGUUCCAAAGUGAUAAACAUAGGCCCCAAGGUAAAAAUAGAAAACAUGAUGUUGGCGGAGCAAAAUCGUCUCUCAACCUCUUCCCAAUAACUAAAUCAAGACUAAUCAAGGGGAGCACACGGAAGGGGUCAAUAUUUGUGCUCAAGAGUCCAUAAUUCAGUAGGGAGGUUUUAUGUAAUAAUCGCUAGGAAAAUGCCCUAGCGGAGGGGGAGGGCUGGGGCUUGGAGAGGAGCUCUGCCUGCUGGUUGGGCCAUAGCGAUAAAUGUUUGAGGAGAUAAGGCAAAGAGCACAGGGAGAUAAGGAAGCCGACACUGGAAGACAAGAUGAGGCCCAGCUGACUAUACAAUAUCAGGGUGACUAAGGUUAGGGAACAGAAAUAGCUUUAAUUUCAGUGGGGAUGUAUAUAUACUGGGGAUUGAAACCAGGGCCUUUGCACUAAACUGCCCUAGACCUUUCUUUCUUCCCUUUAUGGUUUUUUGAGAGAAUCUCGAUAGAUAGUCCAGGCUGGCCUUGAACUCUCUAUGUAGCCCAUGAUGUCCUUGAACUCAGAAUCAUCCUGCGUCAGCCUCCUGAGUGCUGGAAUUACAGGCAUUCACCACCAUGCCUGGCCAUAACCUUUCUUUUUUUAAAUGGGUCUCGCUAAGUUGCAAAAUUGCCCAGGCUUAGCCUAUUGAAGAUGUGUGCCAUUCUCUAAUUUUAAUUCCUAAAACAGUAAGGCUUUGGGGGGGGGGGUGCCUGAUUGGUAAAGGGUUUGGCUCACGUGCAAGGCCCUGGGUUUGAGCCCCAGCACCACUAAACAAAUCGAUAUUGAGGGAACAGUCGCGUUAUUGCUAAGCACAAAGGAAUCUCCGGCACAGUCGUCACAGACCUUUGGAUUUUCAUUCCUCCUUUGAACCAAGAAGUUUCCAAAGAGCCACCUUAGAUAAGAAGCAGAAUUUGGUGCCUUUGGUGACUAAUAGGAGAGGAAGCCAAGACAAGCUUGAGAUGACUCCAGAGUCUGAAGUCUGUGAGCCUGCCCGCCCUGCUCCAGGAGAAGAGUGGCUGACAGAUUCUCAGAAUUCCAGAUGAGCCCAAAGCUGUCAUGUGGAUGACCUCUACCCUGCUCAAUGAAUCCCAGCGGAAUAUUGUGCCAGGAGAAGGUGGCAGACAGAAGUGACCAAGAGUGCCAUCCACUUAGCUGUUGUCUGCGGACUUGGUUGUCUCUGGAGCGUUGUAGCGGAACCCAGCCUGUGUUUGCUGCUGUAAAUGAACCACAGCCGGGGUUCACUUUGCUGGUGUUUUCGGGAGGGAAGGCUUUGUGACUCAGCACCUGGAAGCUGCUUCUCUACAUUGGCUCCUCCUCCUCACCUUUCCCAACUCGGCUAAGGCAAAGUCUCUCUGUGCUGUGGCCAACACCUACCUGGACACGUGGGUGCAGCUGGCUCAAAGUCAGGCAUAGGUUUCAGCAGAGGAGUGGGAAAAAAACCCCUCAAAACAAACUUCUUCUAUUUAUUCCUUGAAAUGUUAUCUUAUAAAGCUAUCCUGACAUACCAGAUGUUUCUGAAGAGUUUGUGGUAAGAGAUCUUAUUGUGUGAGGGAAAUUUUUAAUAAACUAAAAGUAAAAUAACACAAACUCUUGGCUAGAGUUGUAACCAUUGCUCAAGAGAAAACAAGAAAAAAG